rnacentral:rRNA from 1 species
GAUGAACGCUGGCGGCGUGCCUAAUACAUGCAAGUCGAGCGAACAGACGAGGAGCUUGCUCCUCUGACGUUAGCGGCGGACGGGUGAGUAACACGUGGAUAACCUACCUAUAAGACUGGGAUAACUUCGGGAAACCGGAGCUAAUACCGGAUAAUAUAUUGCACCGCAUGGUUCAAUAGUGAAAGACGGUUUUGCUGUCACUUAUAGAUGGAUCCGCGCCGCAUUAGCUAGUUGGUAAGGUAACUGCUUACCAAGGCAACGAUGCGUAGCCGACCUGAGAGGGUGAUCGGCUACCUUGGAACUGAGACACGGUCCAGACUCCUACGGGAGGCAGCAGUAGGGAAUCUUCCGCAAUGGGCGAAAGCCUGACGGAGCAACGCCGCGUGAGUGAUGAAGGUCUUCGGAUCGUAAAACUCUGUUAUUAGGGAAGAACAAAUGUGUAAGUAACUAUGCACGUCUUGACGGUACCUAAUCAGAAAGCCACGGCUAACUACGUG